rfam:Triticum aestivum genome assembly, contig: Triticum_aestivum_CS42_TGACv1_scaffold_594141_7BS
UUUCUACUCCCUCCGUCCGAAAACACUUGUCAUCAAAAUGGAUAAAAAGAGAUGUAUCUAAAACUAAAAUACGUCUAGAUACAUUUCCUUUUAUCCAUUUUCAUGACAAGUAUUUCCGGACGGGGGGACUAUUUG